rnacentral:rRNA from 1 species
GACGAACGCUGGCGGCGUGCUUAACACAUGCAAGUCGAACGCUGAAGCUCAGCUUGCUGGGUGGAUGAGUGGCGAACGGGUGAGUAACACGUGAGUAACCUGCCCUCUUCUUUGGGAUAACGCCCGGAAACGGGUGCUAAUACUGGAUAUUCACUGAUUCUCGCAUGGGGGUUGGUGGAAAGGUUUUUUCUGGUGGGGGAUGGGCUCGCGGCCUAUCAGCUUGUUGGUGGGGUGAUGGCCUACCAAGGCUUUGACGGGUAGCCGGCCUGAGAGGGUGACCGGGCACAUUGGGACUGAGAUACGGCCCAGACUCCUACGGGAGGCAGCAGUGGGGAAUAUUGCACAAUGGGCGAAAGCCUGAUGCAGCGACGCCGCGUGAGGGAUGGAGGCCUUCGGGUUGUAAACCUCUUUCGCUCAUGGUCAAGCCGCAGCUUUGGGUUGUGGUGAGGGUAGUGGGUAAAGAAGCGCCGGCUAACUACGUG